rnacentral:misc_RNA from 1 species
GGUGAGGGGGGGAUUAAAUGCUUGUUUCUAUGCAUUUAAUCUAGUCCAGCUGCAUUAACCAGGUGUAGUAGAUUUAUCACUUUAGGUUAGUCUGAGAAAAGUGCCUUUUCCAAUUGAAAUCAGGCUACCGAGUUUAGCAGUUCUAGCUUACAGAGAUACCUGGGAACUGGGUUUAGUUUUGGGAUUUUUUCGGCAAUGUUGUAUUGCUUUAGGCGCUAUUUUGUUUUUAAUUUAUUAGCGGCUCUCAGUAUCUGGGAGUUUGACUGUCUUCAUGGCGUGCGCAUGCUCAAUAUUUUAAAUGAAAUUUGGUUAUUCAAUCCUUUUAAGACUUAAAUAUAUGUCAAC